GAACGCACCCUAGUAGUGCAGCGAAAUGAACAAACAUUAUAUAUAUAUAUAAUUUUUUGGAACACGCAAGAUGGAAAACAUAACCUGGUAGUUCAGAAACACGUAUUAAUGUAAUGCUUUUAUAAUUAAUAAGCUUUUUAGAAAUUGUUAUACGUGUCUUAUUUUUGUAUAGGCAUUAACAGCAAUUACAAAUAAUACAAAGAUUUCGUUCGAUACAACCACGGCGAGUACAAAAGAAAUUAAAAUACGUAAUAUAUCAAUUAAAUUAUAGAUAUUAUAAAUGAUUAUAAGAGGCAAGGAAUUAAAACUGUUGUAGUAAAAACAAAGAAAUCUGUAAAAAAGGAAGUAUUGAGGGGAACAAUCAAAAUUAUCCAGAAGAAAUAAUGGAUAAAAAGAUUCUUUAAAUUAUAAUUAUAUACUGAAAAGUACUGUCAGUAUUGGUACUGAAAAAACAUUGAUACUGAAGUAGCAACAAUUUUUCAGUAGCGAAAAUACAGAAUACAAUAAUAAAACUAACACAUCAAGCAGCGAUAUAAGUAACAUUAUAGAUUCAAGCUUAUAUAAUCUCUUUGACAAAUCUGAACUGAAAUAUGCAAAUUUCUUAGUACUAAUCAAUCAACAAGUUGCAACAUAAAUAAUAAAUCAAGGGACAUAAAC